UAGACCACCAAGGGCUAUGUCCUGGUGCUGCUGAGCUUGGACUCCGACCAGAAGAUAGAGAUUGAAACGAUGAGGAAAACGAAGGGCUUGAUCCCCGCUGGACGCUAACUGCAGGGCAAGCUCCCCGGUGCUGGACUUGUGUUUCAGAGGCCGAGAACCGCUAUCGGGCUUCCUCGGACUCUGGCCCUGAGGGCGGGGAACGGCGACGGAGAAGGCGUAACGAGACUCUUACGUCCAGUGUGUUCUGGGGGCUUGAUGCGAGGCCCAGAGAGUUCUCUGCAGGCCCUGCCCCGGGCACUGAUCAAAGCUGAGAAGAGACGCGCUGGGCUGCGAGCUGAGCUCCAGGCUUCUGAAGUCAGAGGGAGGGCUGAGAGCUUCCACUUCUGGAGCUCCCCGGGAGACGGCAACUACCCAACCGUGUGUGUGUGUUUGUCACCCAGAAAUACUCUCCACACCAUGCUGCACUGCUGCGGAUGAGGGAAGGGUGGUGUUGGGGCUUCAAGACUGUUUUUUCUACCUCUUCAGUGCCUCUUUCAGUGAUAUGAAGUUAAAACCAGGAACAUGGAGUAGACAUAUUUCCCCCUAUUUCUCUCCCUAAGUGUAAAAGACCAUAAGAAACCAUCUAGGGACUUCAGAACCCAAAUAAUGACACAGUGUUAAUUUGCAGGUUCUCCCUCUGCCUGCCACCCCACCCAGCAAGGAGGAGAGGAACUGCUGAGUAGGGAAGAGAUGAGUCUUGGCCCUGUCACUUCUUAGGGGUGUGGUUUUGUACUACCUGCUCACCAUGUUUGAACUUUACUCUUCUUGUUUAUAAAAUGAGGACAAUGACACCUGCAAGACUGUGAGGUUUAAAAACAAAAUCUGUGUUGAGAGGUUAACUUGCCUCUUUUACUUUCCAAUGAUUUCCUCAAUGCCUGGCCACUGGGGCUGGUUCAUACUAGAUGAUCAAUAAAUGCUCCUUGAAUGAG